rnacentral:lncRNA from 1 species
AGAUGCAAAAUGUUAUUCUCAACGAGCUUGCAGAAAUAAAAGUUCUUUUAAAAGAAGUUAUAGAAAUUAAGUUUCAGGCUACUGGGGUGAAGUUGCUAGAAUCAGUGGACGAAGUGGUUACACUGUAUAAUAAACUAAAAUAUAAAACCGAGUAUACUAAUUUGCUUGAUAGUUAGAAAAAGAUUGGUGGUGGAAAGCCAAGAGAACAUGUUUUUUUGAUCAUGAAAAGGUUAUUUUCGAAUCAGUUACAGUCCAAAUUUAAUC